rnacentral:lncRNA from 1 species
AGUGCCGGCUCAAUAGGGAGUGCGGCCGGUGCGACCGCCCCGGGUCCGGUUCAAAUCUUACAAUAUUAGGGGCCCUAAUUAUUUAAUUAGCAUAUCUGAUUUAGAUUUAAACAGUAUUAAAACAAUGUAUCACAAUUUUUUCUAGUUAAAUUAUUAAAGAGAAUAUACAUGUUUGAUGCUCGAGUCGAAAUUUCAGGAAAUUUUUUUACCAACGUUAAAAAAUUAACUUACUAUAGGGGCCUUAAAAUUCUUUUUGCCCAAGGGCCCUUCUAUAUAUUAAGCCGGCCCUGG